GCCAGGCGUGGUGACGCCCGCCUGUAAUCCCAGCUACUUGGGAGGCUGAGGCAGGAGAAUCACUUGAACCCGGGAGGCAGAGGUUGCAGUGAGCCGAGAUCGUGCCACUGCAAUCCAGCCUGGGCAACAGAGUGAGACUGUGUCUCAA
ensembl:misc_RNA Metazoa_SRP Metazoan signal recognition particle RNA